UAAUACAGGGGGUGCGAGCGUUAAUCGGAGUUACUGGGUGUAAAGGGCGCGUAGGCGGUGAGAUGUGUGUGAUGUGAAAGCCCCGGGCUUAACCUGGGAAGUGCAUUGCAAACUAUCUGACUAGAGUAUAUGAGAGGGUGGCGGAAUUUCCGGUGUAGCGGUGAAAUGCGUAGAGAUCGGAAGGAACGUCAAUGGCGAAGGCAGCCACCUGGCAUGAUACUGACGCUGAGGCGCGAAAGCGUGGGGAGCGAACAGGAUUAGAUACCCUGGUAGUCCACGCCGUAAACGAUGAGGACUGGAUGUUGGCAGGGGAACCUGUCAGUAUCGAAGCUAACGCGAUAAGUCUUCCACCUGGGAAGUACGGCCGCAAGGUUG
rnacentral:rRNA from 1 species